GACGUAGGGGGCAAGCGUUGUCCGGAUUUAUUGGGCGUAAAGAGCUCGUAGGCGGCUCGGUAAGUCGGGUGUGAAAACUCGGGGCUCAACCCCGAGACGCCACUCGAUACUGCUGUGGCUUGAGUCCGGUAGGGGAGCGUGGAAUUCCUGGUGUAGCGGUGAAAUGCGCAGAUAUCAGGAGGAACACCAGUGGCGAAGGCGGCGCUCUGGGCCGGUACUGACGCUGAGGAGCGAAAGCGUGGGGAGCAAACAGG
rnacentral:rRNA from 1 species